AGAUGUAGUUGGUGUAAAGUGACGUACGUUUGAAUGAUAGGAAACGAUUGAAACACGCGGUAACUUCCCUGCUUAUUUAUCC